AGCAGCGUGGCUCAGUGGAAAGAAGAGCCUGGAUUUGGGAGCCAGAGGUCAUGGGUUUGAAUCCCGGCUCUGCCA
rnacentral:tRNA from 1 species